AUUGAACGCUGGCGGCAGGCCUAACACAUGCAAGUCGAGCGGAUGAAGGGAGCUUGCUCCUGGAUUCAGCGGCGGACGGGUGAGUAAUGCCUAGGAAUCUGCCUGGUAGUGGGGGAUAACGUCCGGAAACGGGCGCUAAUACCGCAUACGUCCUGAGGGAGAAAGUGGGGGAUCUUCGGACCUCACGCUAUCAGAUGAGCCUAGGUCGGAUUAGCUAGUUGGUGGGGUAAAGGCCUACCAAGGCGACGAUCCGUAACUGGUCUGAGAGGAUGAUCAGUCACACUGGAACUGAGACACGGUCCAGACUCCUACGGGAGGCCGCAGUGGGGAAUAUUGGACAAUGGGCGAGAGCCUGAUCCAGCCAUGCCGCGUGUGUGAAGACGGUCUUCGGAUUGUAAAGCACUGUAAGUUGGGAGAAAGGGCAGUAAGUUAAUACCUUGCUGUUUUGACGUUACCAACAGAAUAAGCACCGGCUAACUUCGUG
rnacentral:rRNA from 1 species